UACCUCCCCACUCCUCACUUAGCUGAUAUUUAAAAAAAAUAUGGUUUGGUGGUCUUCACAAAGAGCCAAAGGUCUCUGCUCUCACUUGCAGGUUGUUUAGUGACUAGUUGUCCUUUGGCACACUGGCACACAACAGAUUGGGGGAUCCAUAUGUCCUUCACUAAGAGGAGGGCAUAUCUUACACUCUCUCUCAGGAUAUGACACUGUGUGUGUCCCAGUUGGUUUUCAGCUGCUUAAGGGAACGUCUGUGUUUCUGACUGCCAGGGAGAACAACAGCGGCCUUUCUGAUACGCUGGACCACAGACAGCCCCAGAGAGCUGAGUCCUCUGUCACCAGCAUGCAGACGAGAACAAACCCUCUCUCACACUCCAUAAUCUGAGAAUCAUUCCUGGAACAGAAAAGCAGAUGCUGAAUGAGAGCACAGGACAGACAGACAGGCAAAAACAUGAAGGUUUGUAUCGAUGGAGACAGAGUGGCUACACAGCAGUGACAGGUACCGGACGGCUGAGAGCCCGGCGUGUAGCCUUUAACUUACCUCAGAAGAUGAAUUGACCCAGCUGCUUCAUAAAAUAACUAGUCGGUCUUUUAGUGAAAUUGUUCCCAUGAUGGAUCUAUGCUUUUAUGUCAAAACUGUCAUUUUUCCACUAAACUAAAACGACUCGCCAUGAUUUCAUGUGCUCUGAAGGACUUCACAUUAAAGCGGUGCUGAUUUUGCACAUGUUCAAUAAACACAUUGGCAUUUUAAACAAUCUUUUUUAAGUGAUGCAUUAAAAUGGUGUAUGUCAGCAAAUAUUUAUAUAGGGACAUGAAUGGACAGACAGUGUGUCAAGACCAUUGACUUCAUUAUUUAUGUGAAAUACAGUGAGGGUUUUGGCAAAUUUCCAUGCUAUAGGUAAUGCCAACUUUACUUGCCAACACCAUUAUCUCAGGGUGUGAACCAAUAUUACCAAUUAGCUCUUCUAACUGGACGACAAAAGAGACGCUUUCAUCUCAAUAGUAAAAUUGGUAAUUACUCUCCAGCCUGGACUCUGUCUCACAGUCUGCAUUUUGUCCUUGACUUUUCAGGGAUAAGGGUUUUGGCAUGUACUGGCCAAAUGUAAUGUAAUGUAAUCAAAAAAGGCAAGACCGUGAAUCUGGCGGCGUGAUGUCAUCACUAUGAGACACUUGUGUGAUAUCAUAAUUAUGAGGUAAUGGCGGGAGGGGUGUGUACGUUUAUGACUUUGGCACACGCUCAGUUUACCGUCAGCCGACUGCAACAGCGUACUAAUGAGAAUGGAUAGCCUGCCUCAAGCUGUACGUGUGUGUGUGUGUGUGUGUGUGUGUGUGUGUGUGUGUGUG